GUCAUUAGAUGUAACUGAUGAUCCUCAUGACAUCAGACAAUAGCCAUCAGAAGAGUCAUGGCAAUGACCCAUAAGCCUUAAAGAGAAAACUGCUAAAAGUAGGCAUCUCUUAAAACUGUCAUUCUCAAAAGAUAGGGAUUUCCAUGAUCCUUAAGAACUGAAAUUAUUUCUGUAAUAUUAUCAAGUUGUGAUUUGCCUUUGCCAUGGAGUUACCAUUUGCACAGAUGGGUGCGGAAGUCAUGAUGGGUGAAGCAGCUGGCUCCAUAACAUGAAUGAAGGCAGGGGCGCCCAACUCUGCUAUCAGUCAUCACACUCUUUAACACAGUAUUACUUAUACACUUAAACAACAAUGUUCCUGAGGAAGCCAGGAAAAGUGUUUUAUUAUAUAGCUACCAUUGAGUACCCUUCAUUUUAAUACCCUGCAUAACAAAAUGGGAAACUCACAUUAGCUGUGAUGCGUUGGCUGUGUUGAAAAUCAUUUGUACAAUUGUUACUCAUUGUAGUUGCAAAUCUAACUAGCCACUGUUUUCAUGAAACACCACUUUAACUUGAAAGAAAUACUAACAAACUAUGGUUUCUCAGGCAUGAGUAUUUGGCAGACAUUUUUUCAUGAUGAACACAAUGAGCCUGUCACUUUAAGGAAAACAACUGAUAAUAUGGGUUAUCAAUGAUCAAAUUUGAAUUUUAAAUUAGAAUUUUGAGAACUUCUGCGUGCCUCCUUUAUCCUGACAGAUUCUCAAUAAUUAGGGACUUUUCUGACGAGUUCAGUGGUAAUAUCAAUGAAUUCUUUUCAUAUUGUAAAAUAAAAUGUACCAAUAUUUAGAAGAUGGGUAUAACUCAAAGAAUCAAUAUUUUCCAAAUAACCAGUGCAGGAUGUUAUAAAAUCAUACAUGGAUAAAAGAUCCAUCCAAAGUAUUAGAUCCAUCAAUGAAUUUUAAGGUACUGGGGAAACAAAGCAAAACAGACAAAUUGCGGUGCUCAGGUUCUGCCAAGGGCAGCAGACAGUGAACCACAUGAAGAAGCCUCCAACUAAUGGACUACCAUAGAUCCAAUGCCUCAGAUGCAGAUAACACUCUGGGAAGGCAGACACCACCUCUCUCCUG